rnacentral:tRNA from 1 species
GCCCAGGUGGCGGAAUUGGUAGACGCGCUAGGUUGAGGGCCUAGUGGGAAGUUAUUCCCGUGGAGGUUCGAGUCCUCUCCUGGGUA